rnacentral:rRNA from 1 species
CCUACGGGAGGCAGCAGUGGGGAAUAUUGGACAAUGGGGGCAACCCUGAUCCAGCAAUGCCGCGUGUGUGAAGAAGGCCUUCGGGUUGUAAAGCACUUUUAUCCGGAACGCGGUACCGGAGGAAUAAGCACCGGCUAACUUCGUGCCAGCAGCCGCGGUAAUACGAAGGGUGCAAGCGUUACUCGGAAUUACUGGGCGUAAAGGGUGCGUAGGUGGUUGCUUAAGUCUGUUGUGAAAGCCCCGGGCUCAACCUGGGAAUGGCAAUGGAUACUGGGCAGCUAGAGUGCGGUAGAGGGUAGUGGAAUUCCCGGUGUAGCAGUGAAAUGCGUAGAGAUCGGGAGGAACACCAGUGGCGAAGGCGGCUACCUGGACCAGACUGACACUGAAGCACGAAAGCGUGGGGAGCAAACAGGAUUAGAUACCCUUGUAGUC